rnacentral:lncRNA from 1 species
GCCAGGAGAACAUGUACAUUGGAUGAUGUCUUCCUCCACCAAGCCCAUACUGUUUCACCCAAACCAACAGACCACAGUAAUAAGAGGACAGGCAUCACUUAACUCACUGGCAAGAAAGCCCAGCAUACUCUGAUUCAGAAGGAUCGUGUUGGCCAACAAGUUAAGGCUCUGUUGUUGAGCCAUAAAGGGGUCCUGUUCUCAGUCCAGUGGUUUGCUGUACAGGAAAAUGUUUAUUGGCGACUUGAGCUGGGACAUAAAGUGAUAAAGAUGUGA